AAUGAACGCUGGCGGCAUGCCUAACACAUGCAAGUCGAACGAAGCCUUCGGGCUUAGUGGCGCACGGGUGCGUAACGCGUGGGAAUCUGCCCUUGGGUUCGGAAUAACAGCGAGAAAUUGCUGCUAAUACCGGAUGAUGACGUAAGUCCAAAGAUUUAUCGCCCAAGGAUGAGCCCGCGUAGGAUUAGCUAGUUGGUGAGGUAAAGGCUCACCAAGGCGACGANCCUUAGCUGGUCUGAGAGGAUGAUCAGCCACACUGGGACUGAGACACGGCCCAGACUCCUACGGGAGGCAGCAGUGGGGAAUAUUGGACAAUGGGCGAAAGCCUGAUCCAGCAAUGCCGCGUGAGUGAUGAAGGCCUUAGGGUUGUAAAGCUCUUUUACCCGGGAUGAUAAUGACAGUACCGGGAGAAUAAGCUCCGGCUAACUCCGUGCCAGCAGCCGCGGU
rnacentral:rRNA from 1 species